UACGUAGGGAGCAAGCGUUGUCCGGAAUCAUUGGGCGUAAAGCGCGCGUAGGUGGCCUCAUAAGUCCGCUGUGAAAGUCAAAGGCUCAACCUUUGAAAGCCGGUGGAUACUGUGAGGCUAGAGUACGGAAGAGGCGAGUGGAAUUCCUGGUGUAGCGGUGGAAUGCGCAGAUAUCAGGAGGAACACCAAUAGCGAAGGCAGCUCGCUGGGACGUUACUGACACUGAGGCGCGAAAGCGUGGGGAGCGAAC
rnacentral:rRNA from 1 species